AGAACGAACGCUGGCGGCGUGUUUAAGACAUGCAAGUCGCACGGAAUGAUUUAAGUAGUAAUACCUGAAGAUUUCAGUGGCGCACGGGUGAGUAACACGUGAAUUACAUGCCCUGUAGAGGGGGAUAGCCCGGGGAAACUCGGAUUAAUACCCCAUAGUCCCGCAAGGGUAAAGUGGCUAGCAAUAGCUGUCGCUACAGGAUUGGUCCGCGCCCUAUCAGCUUGUUGGUGAGGUAACGGCUCACCAAGGCUACGACGGGUAACUGGUCUGAGAGGACGAUCAGUCACACUGGAACUGAGACACGGUCCAGACU
rnacentral:rRNA from 1 species